rnacentral:lncRNA from 1 species
CUUUUGUUUGAUUACUUUUGUGCCUAAAGACCUCCAAGAAGAGGCAUCAGUGCUAAAUACCUCCAUGAAGAGGCAAUUGACGGAUAAAAGGGAUUAAUAGUCAAUCCCCCAUUAUUCAGUGUGUCGUUCUUUAUACUCACACUACAUGUCGACGCUUCAGAACAAAAGCCCAAGAUCUUUUGUCUGGUCAGUCAGUGGAAAGGGUUCCACCUUUCUGAAUCCCC